GCACAAUCAAUUGCCCUUUAAUUAAGGGCCUGUAUGAAUGGACACACGAAAAUAUAGCUGUCUCAGUGAGAUGCCCUAAAAAUUAGCCUUCAGGUGAAGAGACCUGAAUUUCAUAGCAAGACAAAAAGACCCUGUAGAGCUUUAUUAUAACAUUAAUCUAAUUUUAAUUCUCUGAACUACAAUAUAAAUUAAUCUAAAAUUUUGUUGGGGCGACAAAGGACCACCUAAAACGUCCUUAAAUAUAAAGACCAAUAUGUCUCCCAACGACUCAUAGCACUUUGUUUAAGAAACACUAGCUACCUCAGGGAUAACAGGCUAAUAUCCCCUUGAGAGCCCAAAUUGACAGGGGAGU
rnacentral:rRNA from 1 species